AUUGAACGCUGGCGGCAUGCCUUACACAUGCAAGUCGAACGCGAAAGCGGGGCAGCCCGCAAGUAGAGUGGCGAACGGGUGAGUAAUACAUCGGAACGUGUCCAGUAGCGGGGAUAACCUCUCGAAAGAGAGGCUAAUACCGCAUACGUCCUACGGGAGAAAGAGGGGAGUCGCAAGACCUCUCACUAUUGGAGCGGCCGAUGUCGGAUUAGCUAGUUGGUGAGGAAAAGACUCACCAAGGCGACGAUCCGUAGCUGGUCUGAGAGGACGGCCAGCCACACUGGAACUAGAGACACGGUCCAGACUCCUACGGGAGGCAGCAGUGGGGAAUUUUGGACAAUGGGCGCAAGCCUGAUCCAGCCAUGCCGCGU
rnacentral:rRNA from 1 species